rnacentral:rRNA from 1 species
UAGAUACCCCGGUAGUCCACGCCCUAAACGAUGCGAACUGGAUGUUGGGUACAUUACGGUACUCAGUGUCGAAGCUAACGCGUUAAGUUCGCCGCCUGGGGAGUACGGUCGCAAGACUGAAACUCAAAGGAAUUGACGGGGGCCCGCACAAGCGGUGGAGUAUGUGGUUUAAUUCGAUGCAACGCGAAGAACCUUACCUGGCCUUGACAUCUGUCGAAUCCUGCAGAGAUGCGGGAGUGCCGCAAGGAACGACAAGACAGGUGCUGCAUGGCUGUCGUCAGCUCGUGUCGUGAGAUGUUGGGUUAAGUCCCGCAACGAGCGCAACCCUUGUCCCUAGUUGCCAGCACGUAAUGGUGGGAACUCUAGGGAGACUGCCGGUGACAAACCGGAGGAAGGUGGGGAUGACGUCAAGUCCUCAUGGCCCUUACGGCCAGGGCUACACACGUACUACAAUGGUCGGUACAGAGGGUUGCGAAGCCGCGAGGUGAAGCCAAUCCCAGAAAACCGAUCCCAGUCCGGAUUGGAGUCUGCAACUCGA